rnacentral:rRNA from 1 species
GACAGAGGCCCCAAGCGUUAGGCGGAAUCACUGGGCUUAAAGCGUGUGUUGGCGGACGCCUAAGUGUCUUGUGAAAUCCCACGGCUCACCCGUGGAACUGCUGGGCAUACUGGGCGUCUUGGGCCAACUAGGGGCAGCCGGAACAAGCGGUGGAGCGGUGAAAUGCGUAGAUAUCGCUUGGAACGCCGAAGGUGAAAACAGGCUGCUGGGGUUGCGCCGACGCUGAGACACGAAAGCCAGGGGAGCAAACGGG